AAAGAAAAGAGAGAAAAAUAUAUUAUAAAUUUAGUCCUUGUUUCAUUCCCAUUUGAGGGGAAAUAAUACAUUUUGAAUAGUAAACUGAUAGAGAAUGUGUGAUUAAAAAUUAAAGAAAAAAUUUGAAUUUACGUGCAAUAUUAUUUUAUUGAAAAAUAUAUGGUUGAAAAUAAAUUUUAAAAAAAUGAAUUUUUAGAAGAAUGAUAAUCAAACAAGGGCUUAACGAGGCUCCAACCGGGCUACAUUUUUGAAAGUACUUAGAAAAAUCUGUUUAUUGAAAAUUGUCUUUAACCUAUUUUAACUUUUUGCUUUCUCUAGUCAAACAAGUGUCAGAUGAACAGUAAAUGUCCAAGUAUAUCAAACGUAUCAAAUGAAUAGUAAGAUAACCAAGUGGUAGAAGUUGGAUUGAAGUGUGAAAGCAUUGUCAUUCUUUUAUCUAUACUAGUUUUUCGCCCGUGCAAUGCACGGGAUGUGUUAUUUUGAAGGUAAUGUUAACGUCUUAAAAAUGUCAAGGAUUGACAAGAAACUCUAUCACAAAAUUUCGAUGCAAACAUCUGUAUAAAAGAAAGAAUGUUGCCUAAAUUACAAUAUAAUUCAAAAGUUCCACAUCAAGGUACAAUUUUAUUUCUACAUAUUAUAUAUGUAAGGCAUCCUAGGAGAAGUGGUGUUAUUAUAUUUCUUUUCACAAGAAAAACUACAGUUGGAAUACAUUUUGCACCUCAACAUAAGUAUGGCCAGAUGCCUAACAAAAUGGGAAAAAAAAAAAUUAUCCAUAAAGUAUGAAAAAGUGAAUAAAAACUAAACAGCAUUUACUGGAAGUUCAAGCAUGUUAAAGGUACACACUUCCAUCAAUAAUUCAAUCACUUGAAUAAUUGCAUAGGACUUAUGCACACUAACAAAAUGGCAUUGCAUGAAAAUUAGGAGACUUCCAUUUAAAUAAUUUCUCAUUUUAUUUGCACAAAACACACACAUAAUCUGAGUUGCAAACGCGAACAAAUAGAUAGAGUGAUUGCCUUGAACAACAUUUUUAUUGUUUGGUCAAGAACUCGUGAACACAAACCAAGUUCAUGAGGUGUUUUAAGAAGUAAACAGUGAUGACAAAAGAUACAAAAUAUUCCAAACUCAAAGAACGGAUUUACUAAUUUAGUGCUCAAUACCUUUAAAGCUGGAGUUUAUAUCUACAUUUAGCAGUGAUAACAACUAAUAACACAUUAAAGCAGCUAACUCCAAAAAUAAGUUACCAUAAGAAACCUAAUUAAUCAUUCCCUCACUACAAGAUUCUGUCCACUACACUGUUCCCGCGAAUUCAUCUCGUCAUGAAUAAUUCCAUUACUCUUUGAAACCCGAACCCUACUUCCCUUCCUCUCUUGAUCCCAAUAGUGCAGCCCCAUAUACUCAACAGAAUUCAUCAGGAUAUGCUCUUUUAACAUGGGACUUUCAAAGCCUUUGGGCUCAAAAUGAUCCUAUACUUGGAUCAUAAAUCUAAGUUUUGGUCCUCAGAACACGACAAACCAGAUGAAGGCUACAAAUAUGGCAACUCCUACAUUUAUUUGGAAUAAGGAUUCGAAGUGCAGAAUUAAGCAAAAAAUUAUUGUUGAAAAGGUCAAAAAGAGGAUGAUAAAAGAAAGGGGGAAAAGCCACCAAUUCUACUAUAUUUAAAAGUUAGGAAUCAAAGCAGGUAUUAUCCGACACUUUUUUACUUGAUUUGGCUAAGAGUGGCUUCUCAUCAUCAAAAAGACCAUAUUUGUUACAAUGCAGCCAAUCCAAUAUAUAAAUAAGCCAAUCCAAUAUAUAAAUAAGAAAAAGUGAUCUACUUUACAUGUCUAUUAAAAAAAAAAAAAAUUUAAAAAAAUUUGCACCCAUUAAAAGAAAGUUGGGAAACAACUACAAUAUAGAAAAAUAAAUAAAUCCAUACAUAGCUAAUGCUUGACCUUUGUGGAUCCAUCAACAACGAAUAGUUUCUUCAAGGGAAAUUUGAGUGACGAAUCAAGAUUCUCAAUUUUCACCCUAAGCUCUCCAACGGGAAGCUAUUUGUUGGCCAAAAUAACUAAUGAAUAACAAAAAGAGCAAUCCAAAAAAGUAUCACAGGUGAUGCCACAAACAAUACACAACUUUUCCAAAGAUUGGCCAUUUAAGAUAGAAUACUAAUUUUUUUCCAUGCCAAAAAUAACUAGAGCCCAACCUACCGGCGUGAAUUUGUUGAAAAGUGUGAGGAAUAAAAAUUGAGUAAACUGUCAUGAUGACAAGAGACAGAACAAGGAUGAAAGCCACAAAUAUAUGACCAAGUAGGGACCCUUUUUUAGCAACCAGAAGACAUUACCAUUCACUGAAACGAUUAAUCCCUUUCUUUCCAUCAAUAAUUGCUGAAGUCAUUAUUCCCAGUCUAUAAAUGUUGAUGACAUUUAUAUAAAUGAGAUAGAAAUGAAAAUAUAAAUCUCAAUUACAGGUGUAGCAAAAAAAUCAUGUUAAUUACUUAUUAUAGAAAAAAUGUACCUGUACUAUCACAAUUACGGCAGCUA
rnacentral:lncRNA from 1 species